rnacentral:lncRNA from 1 species
CUCAGAACACUAUUUUGGAUGUAAAAGUUUUGGGUCAGAAUCUUAAGGGUGAAUUUUGAGGGGUAGAAACAUACCCAUUUUCUAUCCCUAAACAACACUUAGGGAUAGAAGGCAUUAGUGAGGAAUGACCUGGGAAUACCUACAUCUUCAUUCCAAUCUUCAGUCCCCCACUCCUCUGUUGCAGUCCUCCAUGCACCUGAGAAUAAAGAAAAAUAGUGAAGUAACUUCACUAUUAAAUGCCAGUACAAAGCAUGUAUAGAAAACAUCAAUGUAUUAAUUUUUUUGGCAGCCAAAAGUAUGACUAAAAUUUAGUAAUCAGAAGGCCAGGUGUGGUGGCUCACACCUAUAAUCCUAAUACUUUGAGAGGCCGAGGUGGGUGGAUCACUUGAGGUCGGGAGUUCGAGACCAGCCUGACCAACAUGGAGAAACCCUGUCUCUACUAAAAAUACAAAAUUAGCUGGGCGUGGUGGCACAUGCCUGUAAUCCCAGCUACGCGGGAGGCUGAGGCAGAAGAAUGGCUUGAACCUGGGAGGUGGAGGUUG